GAUAAACGCUGGCGGCGUGCAUGAGACAUGCAAGUCGAACGAAGGAUCGGGCUUUCUCGAUCCUUAGUGGCGGACGGCUGCGUAACGCGUAGGUGACCUACCCCGUAGUGGGGAAUAACUGCCCGAAAGGGUGGCUAAUACCGCUUGUGGUCGCACGUUCAUUCUUGCGAGUAAAGCCGCAAGGGGCGUCGGGAGGGGCCGGCGUCCGAUUAGCUCGUUUGUGGGUUAAUGGCAUACCAAGGCGACGAUUGGUAGGUGGUCUGAGAGGAGGAUAACCCAGACUGGGACUGAGAAACGGCCCAGAAUCCUACGGGAGGGAGCAGUGGGGAAUUUUGCAAAAUGGGGGAAACCGUGAAGAAGCAACGCCGCGUGAGGGAUGAAGGCGUUCGGGAUGUAAACCUGUUUUGUCAGGGAAGAUGAUGACGGUACCUGGCGAAUAAGCCACGGCUAACUACGUG
rnacentral:rRNA from 1 species